GCUGGUGGCAAUAGCGGGGAGGCAACACCCGUUCCCAUCCCGAACACGGCCGUUAAGAGCCCCUGCGGCGAUGAUACUGCGUUCAAGAGCGCGGGAAAGUAGCGCGCUGCCAGCC
rnacentral:rRNA from 1 species